AUAUUUACCUGGCAGGGGAGAUACCAUGAUCACAAAGGUGGUUUAUCUAGUUUUUGUGGGAAACUCUACUGCAUAAUUUGUGGUAGUGGGGGACUGCAUUCGAGCUUUCCCCUG
ensembl:snRNA U1 U1 spliceosomal RNA